GUUGCUUAAGAAAUGAAUGUUAGUUCAGCCUUAUGUAAUUCUAUAAUCAAAACAUUACCGACCAAAAGAAUAAAAGCAAUACAUAAGAGUUAGUCAAAGGGGGUACAGCCCCUUUGAAACAGAACACAAUCUUAUUCAGGAGGACAAGGAUCAUAUCAUAUAAAGGACAAAAUUACCUCAGUGGACCUAAAAGCAGCCACCUGAAAAGAAAGCGUUAAAGCUCCGGUAAAUAUAGACCAAUAAUAAAGACAAUACACUCCCCACCCCCUAAAAAUAUUAAGCUAUCCUAUGCGCACAUAGGAGAAACAAUGCUAAAAUCAGUAAUAAGAGGACCCAGGUCCUCUCCUAGCACAUGUGUAAGUCAGAACGGACCAACCACUGACAAUCAACGGACCCAAACAGAGAGAAAAAGAACGAACUACAAAAAACAAGAAAAAACUAUUUAAUACCACAAACCGUUAACCCAACACAGGAGUGCCCAAAGGAAAGACUAAAAGGAGAAGAAGGAACUCGGCAAACACAAGCCCCGCCUGUUUACCAAAAACAUCGCCUCUUGCUAACAAAGGAAGUACUAGAGGUCCCGCCUGCCCUGUGACCACAAAGUUUAACGGCCGCGGUAUCCUG
rnacentral:rRNA from 1 species